rnacentral:rRNA from 1 species
ACGGGUGAGUAACACGUGGGCAACCUACCUUAUCGACUGGGAUAACUCCGGGAAACCGGGGCUAAUACCGGAUAACAUCUAGCACCUCCUGGUGCCGGAUUAAAAGAGGGCUUCUUGCUCUCACGAUGAGAUGGGCCCGCGGCGCAUUAGCUAGUUGGAGAGGUAAUGGCUCCCCAAGGCGACGAUGCGUAGCCGACCUGAGAGGGUGAUCGGCCACACUGGGACUGAGACACGGCCCAGACUCCUACGGGAGGCAGCAGUAGGGAAUCUUCCGCAAUGGACGAAAGUCUGACGGAGCAACGCCGCGUGAGUGAUGAAGGGUUUCGGCUCGUAAAGCUCUGUUAUGAGGGAAGAACACGUACCGUUCGAAUAGGGCGGUACCUUGACGGUACCUCAUCAGAAAGCCACGGCUACUACGUGCCAGCAGCCGCGGUAAUACGUAGGUGGCAAGCGUUGUCCGGAAUUAUUGGGCGUAAAGCGCGCGCAGGCGGCCUUUUAAGUCUGAUGUGAAAUCUUGCGGCUCAACCGCAAGCGGCCAUUGGAAACUGGGAGGCUUGAGUACAGAAGAGGAGAGUGGAAUU